GGGCCCGUAGUCUAGCCUGGUUAGGACGCCGCCCUCACAAGUGAAAACUGAGUACGGCGGAGGUCCCGAGUUCAAAUCUCGGCGGGCCCA
rnacentral:tRNA from 1 species